rnacentral:lncRNA from 1 species
AACGAAGGUGUCGCAAUGGUCUGGCACCUCACCACUCGUGAUGGGAAAAUCAACAGCGGCGUUCGCCCUGUCAAAGAGGCAGUCCGAUUCUACAUUUCCUUUGGGUGGACAAGACGACGUGGGAGAAGAGAUACCGUUUUUCAUCGCUGCUCACGCUGAAUAGAAGGGACAACAUAGCAAGUCACAAGUCUGAUACCUCCAGCCGUCACCACUUUCUGAUUUAUUCGUAAUCAUAAGGAAUAAGUAUGGAAACAUUAUGCCGA